AAUAACCACUAGGGGUGUCAUUUUUGCACUGAGAUGAGGAUGUCCUCAAACCCUUUGAACCUGAUCUAGUUGGAACUAGCGUAGGGAAGUGUGUUCGUCAAACU
rfam:Staphylococcus saprophyticus strain CNV2 Spades_3, whole genome shotgun sequence.